GCCAGCCCGCUCAGAAACUUAAAUGAAUUGACGGGGCCCGCACAAGCGGUGGAGUAUGUGGUUUAAUUCGAUGCAACGCGAAGAACCUACCUGGUCUUGACAUCCCGGAGACCCUUAGGAAACUAGGGGGUGCUUCCAUCUGGAAGAAUCUGGAGACAGGUGCUGCAUGGCUGUCGUCAGCUCGUGUCGUGAGAUGUUGGGUUAAGUCCCGCAACGAGCGCAACCCUUGCCUUUAGUUGCCAGCAGUUCGGCUGGGCACUCUAAAGGGACUGCCGGUGUUAAACCGGAGGAAGGUGGGGAUGACGUCAAGCCCUCAUGGCCUUUAUGACCAGGGCUACACACGUACUACAAUGGCCGAUACAAAGGGCAGCGACACUGCGAGGUGAAGCCAAUCCCGUAAAAUCGGUCUCAGUCCGGAUUGGAGUCUGCAACUCGACUCCAUGAAGUUGGAAUCGCUAGUAAUCGUGGAUCAGCAUGCCACGGUGAAUACGUUCCCGGGCCUU
rnacentral:rRNA from 1 species